rnacentral:rRNA from 1 species
ACGUAGGGGGCGAGCGUUAUCCGGAUUCAUUGGGCGUAAAGCGCUCGUAGGCGGUCCGUCUGGUCGGGUGUCAAAUCCGGGGGCUCAACCCCCGUUCGCAUCCGAUACCGGCGGACUUGAGUUUGGUAGGGGAAGGCGGAAUUCCAAGUGUAGCGGUGGAAUGCGCAGAUAUUUGGAAGAACACCGGUGGCGAAGGCGGCCUUCUGGGCCACAACUGACGCUGAGGAGCGAAAGCUAGGGGAGCGAACAGG